UCUCCGUUGGUGAACCAGCGGAGGGAUCAUUACCGAGUUUACAACUCCCAAACCCCUGUGAACAUACCAUUUGUUGCCUCGGCGGUGCCUGCUUCGGCAGCCCGCCAGAGGACCCAAACCCUUGAUUUUAUACAGUAUCUUCUGAGUAAAUGAGUAAAUAAAUCAAAACUUUCAACAACGGAUCUCUUGGUUCUG
rnacentral:misc_RNA from 1 species